rnacentral:tRNA from 1 species
UUUAGGGAGACCUACACCCCUCAGAUAUCGAAAGCACAAAGCAAAUAGAUAAUGAGUUGGUUAUUCCUAGGUCGGUCGCAACAUUUGCUGGACUUUCAAACUAUAGGUGGGUUCGGAUAAUGGGCUAUUAGCUCAGGUGGUUAGAGCGCACCCCUGAUAAGGGUGAGGUCCCUGGUUCGAGUCCAGGAUGGCCCACCUGAAAUCAGCUAACGGUGAACAGUAAACAGUGGUCAGUAAAAAAAGCUGAUAACUGGUAAUUGAUACCUGAUAGCUGACUAAUGGGGGUUUAGCUCAGUUGGUAGAGCGCCUGCUUUGCAAGCAGGAUGUCAGCGGUUCGAGUCCGCUAAUCUCCACAUGAGGAAAAACCAAGAAAAUAGAAAUUCUCAAAUUGUUGUCAGUCAAAUCAGAUUUUUAACGAGUCUGUUUUUGUAGCUAACAGUAAAGCUUGGUGUCAUAGUAGAUUAGGAAAGAAGCCAGCAAUUGAUUGUGAGAGCAAUCGAACUGCUGGGUGAGAAUCCAGCCAGAACCUUGAAAACUGCAUAGUAACGCGAAAAAAGCAGGCAGACACAGACAUGAAAAUGAAAGUGUUUGCCAGUUGGAAAAACCAAUGGUUUAAG